GAGUUUGAUCAUGGCUCAGGACGAACGCUGGCGGCGUGCCUAAUACAUGCAAGUAGAACGCUGAAGAGAAGAGCUUGCUCUUCUUGGAUGAGUUGCGAACGGGUGAGUAACGCGUAGGUAACCUGCCUGGUAGCGGGGGAUAACUAUUGGAAACGAUAGCUAAUACCGCAUGAUAUUAAUUGUCGCAUGAUAAUUAAUUGAAAGAUGCAAUUGCAUCACUACCAGAUGGACCUGCGUUGUAUUAGCUAGUUGGUGAGGUAACGGCUCACCAAGGCGACGAUACAUAGCCGACCUGAGAGGGUGAUCGGCCACACUGGGACUGAGACACGGCCCAGACUCCUACGGGAGGCAGCAGUAGGGAAUCUUCGGCAAUGGGGGGAACCCUGACCGAGCAACGCCGCGUGAGUGAAGAAGGUUUUCGGAUCGUAAAGCUCUGUUGUAAGAGAAGAACGGGUGUGAGAGUGGAAAGUUCACACUGUGACGGUAUCUUACCAGAAAGGGACGGCUAACUACGUGCCAGCAGCCGCGGUAAUACGUAUGUCCCGAGCGUUGUCCGGAUUUAUUGGGCGUAAAGCGAGCGCAGGCCGGUAGAUAAGUCUGAAGUUAAAAGCUGUGGCUUAACCAUAGUAUGCUUUGGAAACUGUUUGACUUGAGUGCAGAAAGGGAGAGUGGAAGUCCAUGUGUAGCGGUGGAAUGCGUAGAUAUAUGGAGGAACACCGGAGGCGAAAGCGCCUCUUUGGUCUGUAUUGACGCUGAGGCUCGAAGGCGGGGGGAGCAACCGGGAUUAGAUCCCGUGGUAGUCCACGCGGUAAACGAUGAGUGCUAGGUGUUAGGCCCUUUCCGGGGCUUAGUGCCGCAGAUAACGCAUUAAGCACUCCGCCUGGGGAGUACGACCGCAAGGUUGAAACUCAAAGGAAUUGACGGGGGCCCGCACAAGCGGUGGAGCAUGUGGUUUAAUUCGAAGCAACGCGAAGAACCUUACCAGGUCUUGACAUCCCUCUGACCGCUCUAGAGAUAGAGUUUUCCUUCGGGACAGAGGUGACAGGUGGUGCAUGGUUGUCGUCAGCUCGUGUCGUGAGAUGUUGGGUCAAGUCCCGCAACGAGCGCAACCCCUAUUGUUAGUUGCCAUCAUUCAGUUGGGCACUCUAGCGAGACUGCCGGUAAUAAACCGGAGGAAGGUGGGGAUGACGUCAAAUCAUCAUGCCCCUUAUGACCUGGGCUACACACGUGCUACAAUGGCUGGUACAACGAGUCGCAAGCCGGUGACGGCAAGCUAAUCUCUGAAAGCCAGUCUCAGUUCGGAUUGUAGGCUGCAACUCGCCUACAUGAAGUCGGAAUCGCUAGUAAUCGCGGAUCAGCACGCCGCGGUGAAUACGUUCCCGGGCCUUGCACACACCGCCCGUC
rnacentral:rRNA from 1 species